ACUACCUCAUCCUGAUGCUCCCUAAAAUGAAUGAGACAAGGCUAAUGAAGCAGUCUCCGCCCCCUGCUCCAGUUGGUCAAUGCCCUGAGCUGGAGGACUGUGGCCUGGAGACCACUGCGGUCAAGAGGGGCUGCAUUUCCACCAAGGCCGCUCAGGUCAGCGGUGCCACCGGUGGGUGGGUAGCCAGUGUGGAUGGAGUUAAUACCUACAUCUGUGGUUGAUGACCUGUAUAUGGCCAAUGCAGCCAUGUACAGGUCAUCGGUGCCAUCGGUGGGUGGGGAACUUGUUUGGAUGGAGUUAACAUCUACAUCUGGGGUCUCAUCAUGGCCUGUACAGGUCAUGAUUGCCAGAAUGAGACCAUCCUCCUGAGUUCUGCCCCAGGCCAGGUGCAGAGCCAGGAGGUGGAGGAUGCCGGGAACACCGCUUCC